UUCUGGAGAUGUUCCCGCCUGCUUAACAGUGCACAGUUAUGGGAACCAGCAUCUCAAUGGAAAACAGCAAGUUGCACAAUUUUUUUGCCCUUGGGAGGAAGGGGUGUUUGAUGCUUUUCUUUGAAUGGGUUCCAUGGUUCGUCUUCAUUUCAAGACUGUCUAUGCGUAAGCGGAAGAUGAAGAGAGAAGAUGCCAGAGCGGAGAGGUCGUAGUCACCAGGACGGAGUGGACUCAGAGCGGGGCCGGGAGUCAACGAAGCUUGGGGAAAUCGAUGGAGGACCAACGGAAGGGAGACCGUGAGCUUCAACAAUGUGCACAUUAGACUGUUCGUUAAAAUAGGAAACACGAGGAAAUCUGCAGAUGCUGGAAAUUCAAACAACACACACAAAAUGCUGGUGGAACACAGCAGGCCAGGCAGCAUCUAUAAGGAGAAGCA